rnacentral:rRNA from 1 species
UACGUAGGGCGCAAGCGUUGUUCGGAUUUACUGGGCGUAAAGGGCGCGUAGGCGGCGUGGUAAGUCACUUGUGAAAUCUCUGAGCUUAACUCAGAACGGCCAAGUGAUACUGCUGUGCUAGAGUGCAGAAGGGGCAAUCGGAAUUCUUGGUGUAGCGGUGAAAUGCGUAGAUAUCAAGAGGAACACCUGAGGUGAAGACGGGUUGCUGGGCUGACACUGACGCUGAGGCGCGAAAGCCAGGGGAGCAACGGG